rnacentral:snRNA from 1 species
AUACUAAAAGCAGCACAUAUACUAAAAUUGGCAUGAUACCGAGAUUAGUAUGGCCCCUGUACAAGGAUGACAAGCAAAUGCAUGAAGCAUUCCAUAUUUUU